rnacentral:sRNA from 1 species
CCGGGCCCAAGCGGAUCGCGGGCUCGGGCUGCGGGGCUCCGGCUGCGGGCGCUGGGCCGCGAGGCGCGGAGCUUGGGAGCGCAGCCCAGGCCGUGCCGCGCGGCGCCAUGAAGGGCAAGGAGGAGAAGGAGGGCGGCGCACGGCUGGGCGCUGGCGGCGGAAGCCCCGAGAAGAGCCCGAGCGCGCAGGAGCUCAAGGAGCAGGGCAACCGUCUGUUCGUGGGCCGAAAGUACCCGGAGGCGGCGGCUUGCUACGGCCGCGCGAUCGUGAGUGCGCCCGCGCGGGGAGGGCGGCGGCGGCGGCGGUGCUGGGGAGGGCCGGGCCCGCGCCCGGCCGGCCCCACCGAGGGUUUGGCUCCUUUGCGGGGCGUGUCCUGGGCUCCCAAAGCCCAGCCGUGGUUCUCGAGCCCAGCGCCGGGUGCCGGAGAACGAGGGUGGGAUGCUGGAUGGAGGCCGGCCGGGUGGCGGGGGAGGGCAGGGGCCCUGGCCCCUUGAGGACCCCAGGUCCAAAGCCCGGACUCUCCAAAGAUUUGGAAAACUUUACAAAACCAAGUGGAGUCUAGCGGAUAGGCUCAGCCAGUACUCUACUGUGCGCAGGUUCUUGGACCCAGGGGCUUUGACAACUGAGAAACCUAGUUUCUUGAUUCUAGCCAGAGCGCAGAAGCUGGGACGGGCCGUGGGUCAGAGGGGGCACGCUGAGCCUACGCCCUCAUGCGGCUGGCCCGGCCUUGGUCCCUAGACCCGGAACCCGCUGGUGGCCGUGUAUUACACCAACCGGGCCUUGUGCUACCUGAAGAUGCAGCAGCACGAGCAGGCCCUGGCCGACUGCCGGCGCGCCCUGGAGCUGGACGGGCAGUCUGUGAAGGCGCACUUCUUCCUGGGGCAGUGCCAGCUGGAGAUGGAGAGCUAUGAUGAGGCCAUCGCCAAUCUGCAGCGAGCUUACAGCCUGGCCAAGGAGCAGCGGCUGAACUUCGGGGACGACAUCCCCAGCGCUCUUCGAAUCGCGAAGAAGAAGCGCUGGAACAGUAUUGAGGAGCGGCGCAUCCACCAGGAGAGCGAGUUGCACUCCUACCUCUCCAGGCUCAUUGCCGCGGAGCGUGAGAGGGAGCUGGAAGAAUGCCAGCGAAACCACGAGGGUGAUGAGGACGACAGCCACGUCCGGGCCCAGCAGGCCUGCAUUGAGGCCAAGCACGUGAGGAUGCCCCCCACCCACAUGUGGGUCUGUGUGUGUGCACGUGGCGUGGAAGCAUCCCCGCCUUGUGUUGGGUCUGUGCCCCAUGGAGGAGGGAGGUUGGGUGUCUCCCCCAAGCGCAGCACUCAACUCUUCACAGGACAAGUACAUGGCGGACAUGGACGAGCUCUUUUCUCAGGUGGACGAGAAGAGGAAGAAGCGAGACAUCCCCGACUACCUGUGUGGUAAGAUCAGCUUUGAGCUGAUGCGGGAACCGUGCAUCACGCCCAGUGGCAUCACCUACGACCGCAAAGACAUCGAGGAACACUUGCAGGUGAGGCUGCGGCUGCGGGAGCAGGGCCAGUGGCAUGGUCCUGGGCCCCAUGACUCCCUCUGCCCUUCUUGUUACUACAGCGUGUGGGUCAUUUUGACCCUGUGACCCGGAGCCCCCUGACCCAGGAACAGCUCAUCCCCAACCUGGCUAUGAAGGAGGUUAUUGAUGCAUUCAUCUCUGAGAAUGGCUGGGUGGAGGACUACUGAGGUUCCCUGCCCUGCCUGGCAUCCUGGUCCAGGGGAGCCCUGGGCAGAAGCCCCCGGCCCCUGUACAUAGUUUGUGUUCCUGGCCACCCCAACCCCUUCCCCCCAAGUUCUGCUGUUGGACUUUGGACUGUUCCCCCUCUCAGCAUCGCUCUUGCUGGGCUGUGAUCGUCCCCCUUUGUGGGCUGGAAAAGCAGGUGAGGGUGGGCUGGGCUGAGGCCACUGCUGCCAC